AGUAAAGUCAGCUAACUAAGCUUUUGGGCCCAUACCCCAAACAUGUGGGUUAAAAUCCUACCUCUACUA
rnacentral:tRNA from 1 species